rnacentral:rRNA from 1 species
AGUGAACGCUGGCGGUAGGCCUAACACAUGCAAGUCGAACGGCAGCACAGUAAGAGCUUGCUCUUACGGGAGGCGAGUGGCGGAGGGGUGAGGAAUACAUCGGAAUCUACUUUUUCGUGGGGGAUAACGUAGGGAAACUUACGCUAAUACCGCAUACGACCUACGGGUGAAAGCAGGGGAUCUUCGGACCUUGCGCGAUUGAAUGAGCCGAUGUCGGAUUAGCUAGUUGGCGGGGUAAAGGCCCACCAAGGCGACGAUCCGUAGCUGGUCUGAGAGGAUGAUCAGCCACACUGGAACUGAGACACGGUCCAGACUCCUACGGGAGGCAGCAGUGGGGAAUAUUGGACAAUGGGCGCAAGCCUGAUCCAGCCAUACCGCGUGGGUGAAGAAGGCCUUCGGGUUGUAAAGCCCUUUUGUUGGGAAAGAAAAGCAGCAGGUUAAUACCCCGCUGUUCUGACGGUACCCAAAGAAUAAGCACCGGCUAACUUCGUG